GCCUAGACUUUCCCGCAGCGAGCGCGGCGUUUCGCGGGGAAGACCUUUUCUCCGCCGCCAUUGGCCCUCGCUCGGAUCGCGGCGCCGGCACGCGCGAGGCCGGCGGUGGGUCACCGCGGGCGCGCUUCCAGCGAGAUCGACCCCGAGUGCUCAAGCAGACCGUGUGAUCGUCCACGUCGUCGCCGGCUUACCCCGAUGGAUCGCCGGGAGAAAAAAGAUUACUGCUGAAUAAACAGAAGAAGUCAAAAGCAAACAGGCACUGCAUUUAAAUCCCAAUUUGUACUGUCAUCGCAGUGAGGAACAUGUAAAGCAAAAGACAGGUAUUACAGAGUGCGAGAGUAUAUGUGUC
rnacentral:sRNA from 1 species